rnacentral:tRNA from 2 species
AAGUUUGAAGUAAAAUACAUUUAGUUUCGACCUAAAAUUAUGAUUUAAUAAUCCUAACUUU